rnacentral:rRNA from 1 species
CAAGUCGAACGAUGAAGCCUGGCUUGCUGGGUGGAUUAGUGGCGAACGGGUGAGUAACACGUGAGUAACCUGCCCUUGACUCUGGGAUAAGCGCUGGAAACGGCGUCUAAUACCGGAUACGACCUGCCCCGGCAUCGGGUGUGGGUGGAAAGUUUUUCGGUCAAGGAUGGACUCGCGGCCUAUCAGCUUGUUGGUGAGGUAAUGGCUUACCAAGGCGACGACGGGUAGCCGGCCUGAGAGGGUGACCGGCCACACUGGGACUGAGACACGGCCCAGACUCCUACGGGAGGCAGCAGUGGGGAAUAUUGCACAAUGGGCGAAAGCCUGAUGCAGCAACGCCGCGUGGGGGAUGACGGCCUUCGGGUUGUAAACCUCUUUUAGUAGGGAAGAAGGGCUUCGGCUUGACGGUACCUGCAGAAAAAGCACCGGCUAACUACGUGCCAGCAGCCGCGGUAAUACGUAGGGUGCAAGCGUUGUCCGGAAUUAUUGGGCGUAAAGAGCUCGUAGGCGGUUUGUCGCGUCUGCUGUGAAAACCCGAGGCUCAACCUCGGGCCUGCAGUGGGUACGGGCAGACUAGAGUGCGGUAGGGGAGAAUGGAAUUCCUGGUGUAGCGGUGGAAUGCGCAGAUAUCAGGAGGAACACCGAUGGCGAAGGCAGUUCUCUGGGCCGUUACUGACGCUGAGGAGCGAAAGCGUGGGGAGCGAACAGGAUUAGAUACCCUGGUAGUCCACGCCGUAAACGUUGGGAACUAGAUGUGGGGGCCUUUCCACGGUCUCCGUGUCGCAGCUAACGCAUUAAGUUCCCCGCCUGGGGAGUACGGCCGCAAGGCUAAAACUCAAAGGAAUUGACGGGGGCCCGCACAAGCGGCGGAGCAUGCGGAUUAAUUCGAUGCAACGCGAAGAACCUUACCAAGGCUUGACAUAUACCGGAAACUUCCAGAGAUGGUUGCCCCGCAAGGUCGGUAUACAGGUGGUGCAUGGUUGUCGUCAGCUCGUGUCGUGAGAUGUUGGGUUAAGUCCCGCAACGAGCGCAACCCUCGUUCUAUGUUGCCAGCACGUGAUGGUGGGAACUCAUAGGAGACUGCCGGGGUCAACUCGGAGGAAGGUGGGGAUGACGUCAAAUCAUCAUGCCCCUUAUGUCUUGGGCUUCACGCAUGCUACAAUGGCCGGUACAAAGGGCUGCGAUACCGUAAGGUGGAGCGAAUCCCAAAAAGCCGGUCUCAGUUCGGAUUGAGGUCUGCAACUCGACCUCAUGAAGUCGGAGUCGCUAGUAAUCGCAGAUCAGCAACGCUGCGGUGAAUACGUUCCCGGGCCUUGUACACACCGCCCGUCAAGUCAUGAAAGUCGGUAACACCCGAAGCCAGUGGCCUAACCGUAAGGAGGGAGCUGUCGAAGGUGGGAUCGGUGAUUAGGA